CGCUUACUCGGGGAUAGCCUUUCGAAAGAAAGAUUAAUACCCGAUAGCAUAAUGAUUCCGCAUGGUUUCAUUAUUAAAGGAUUCCGGUAAAGGAUGGGGAUGCGUUCCAUUAGGUUGUUGGUGAGGUAACGGCCCACCAAACCUUCGAUGGAUAGGGGUUCUGAGAGGAAGGUCCCCCACAUUGGAACUGAGACACGGUCCAA
rnacentral:rRNA from 1 species